UUUCAUAGCACCGAGCUGCAUGUCAUCCAGCUAUCUUCAGAACUAUUGAUGAAAUUUUCAAGAAUGCACUGCUGGAAACUGAUGGAGCUCAAGAAAUAAUGACUAUAAUGCAGGUGUUUACACAGUGCUUUGUUCAAGCUUACCAUGAGAAUAACAAGCAGCAUAAGUUUCCACUGAAGGCCUAUUUUCCUUAUAAUCCACAUUCACUUGUGAUGGCUUUCCUUAAACAUCCCUCAGAUUUGCCAGGUACUAGUGUAUAUCAACAUUUGGACCACCUUGCUGGAAUGCUCAAAACAACAGUAGAGGUCAAGGGCUCUGAGUCUUCAGAUGAACUCUUCAACAACUGGUUUUUGUUGAUUCAUUUUGGAGAAUGGGCUGAUCUUGCAGCAGAGCAGUUGCUGUUGUCACAAGCAGAAUCCUCAAACCUAUUGUGGCUUUUGGUGUUUUACUAUGCUCCAAACAAUGAGAAUCAGCAGAGAACUCAAACAAUGGUAGAAGCUAGAUCUGUAUGUGACUAUCUGACGAGCCUCUCAAGAAUGCCAACCAUCUCUGUUGCAGACCUACAAACUUUAUUCAGCAGCAAAACCAGUGUAAAUCAACCUGUAACUAAACAUAUUGUUAUGCAUCUGAUUAUCAGCUUUGUGCUAUUUAUUCCUAAUGGACGCACAAUAGCCAGAGAACUGAUUGCAUAUUUUAUAGCUGGAGGCUGUGAAAUCCCAGAAGUAACUGGACUUCUUACCCAUAUCUCAAAUACAGCUAGCCAACUUGGAGUGAAAUACCAAUGCUCUGUAAAGCUAGCAAAUGAUUUGCUCCAGGAAUUCCAAUGUGGAGUUUAGUACUUAUUCAGAACUGUGGAGUGGAAGGAGAGAAGGCAGCUGUUUUCAAUGGGCAUUUUCUGAAAGAGUCGGGAAGAGAAAUCUGUUAUUUGCAAUCUACAUAUUAUUGACUUUCAUCUGAUUUUUCUGCAUUUGCAGAAGUAUCUUGUUCAAGUUUAUUCAGAGGUGCAUUGUAAAGCUAAAAACAAAAUGAAGCAAAUAUCAUAUUUUGCUAAAGUGGCAUUACUCAGCAAAUGUAUUUUCCUUUCCUGGGGCUACAUGGACCACAGACCUUUCUUGAGCUGCAGAACUCCUUUGAACACUGCCAAGGAAAGACUUGAGCAAUUUAAAAAUUGAUUUUUUAAAAAAUUCCUCCUUCAUAGUGGACCUCUCUCACAGGCUGCUAUUAAAGGUUUGUAUACUUAUAUGGAUAAAAAGUCAUGAUGUCUCCCAAUUUGCAACUUAAGAAUCUCAUCUCAAUCUCAUAAAUAGAAAUUUUGUUUGGAAACCUCUCAUUUUUUUGUAAUGUACAAGAGGAGCAUAUUUCCUGGAAACUAUGCAUUUGGAUUUUUAAGUUUCCUUUGAAGGCUUUCGUUGAAGUCUCCUACAUAGGAAUAAUGGAAUUCUUAUGUCAACAUGUUUUUUGAGGGGUGGGUUGAGUUCCAAAAACAAGCAGGAGAAAAAGUGUGUCCACAGACAUUAGACAUGAUACAUGGUUAACAUGAGCUAUAUCAGGAUUUGGUUACUGAGCUGUUGUAUACAAACUGGCCAUUCUGCCCUUUGCACUAUGUAAUUGGUGCCUGAAUUUAAAAAAUGAUAUGAGUGUGAUGUUCUGGAUCUCUAAUUUGCAUAAAGCCUUAAAGUUGUUCUGUGUUCUGGCAAUUAGCCCUUUAAACCUAGGAAAAGUUUCUCAGACUGAUCAUUGCUAUGUGAAAUGCAGGGCUUUCUCUUUGCCUCUCAGGCUACGUAACAUCUUUGCCAAAUUAGGAGCUGCUCCUCCCACUCCUGCAAACAAAUUAAGUGACUUGUAGAAUUGCAUGCAUUCAGCAUGUUAGUGUAUUCCAACAUCAUCUUCUGGGGAGCUCAUUCAUUUCAAAGUACUGAUUAUAGCAAUCUUUUUUUCCUUCCAUUUUAGAAAAUAUUAUUUCUUGCAACUACACCUGUGGAGCCUGGACUGAAGGUGCAUUUUUUGAUUGCAGCGUUAGGUUAGAAAAACAGCCUAUUAGCAGGUACCUCAGGUGCUCCUAAUUCAGAGUCACAUCAACAUGGCGCCGUUUAAAUCCGAUCAAGCUGCUUAAUGCCUGAAAGUUUGACUGCUCCCUCCUUUUUUUAAUUUUAAGAGACAUGCUCAUAGUUGCAAUUUUAAAUGCUAUCUUAACAUUGAUUCUGGGAAUUUGCACUGGGGUGGUCCAUUUAAGACCAAAUGCCAGAAAAGUUUCCCUUGCUUUUUCUGGCUGUGUUCCUUCAACCAACUGUCUGAGUCUCUAAAAGGUGUUAAAAGCCCUUCAGCUGCUUUCUGAAGGGCUUAAGUGUACUCUGACUGACUAGAUCCUUUUAAUGGCCACUUUUGUACAGACACCAUAGCUGUGACUGAAGUCUUCCAUCCCUGUUGCCAUCCUGCCGACCCACAAGCAACCUAACCAAUCUUGGAUUGCUUUCACUUGGCAAGCAGCAAUCUCAGUAGUUGAUUUCUUCCUAAACAAUCGUUUUGUUUUAAGCAAUAAUAAAGCAUUGAAAGAAGAAAUCAUUCACAGAACUGCUAAAGGUUUGGCGUUUAUCCUAUCCACAUUAAGCCUCUCUUUUGUUUUUAAUCAUAUUUCUGUUUAACUGGCUAAUGAAAAAAUAAUAACCAGGCUCAAAUCAUCCUACUUUGGCUAUAUUAUGUGAAGGCCUAGCUCCCUGGAGAAGGCUUUAAUGCUGGGAAAGGUGGAAAGAAAGAGAAGAGGACAACCAGCAGCAAGGUGGAUGGACUCAGUUACAGUGGCGAUGGGUACAUCUGUUAGAAAGUCUGAAGCACCAGAUUAAGGGCAGUCUGUCAUGGAGAAAAUCUAUAUAUGUGGUCUCCAAGAGUCGAUGCCAACUUGACAGCCAUAAUGAAUCCAUCAGACCGCUUUGGGCUCCUUUUGGGAGGAAGAAUACUAUAGAAAUGAAAUCAGCUUCAUCAUCAUAGCAUUAGGAGAAUGGGCGAAAAACUAUGUCUGCACUCUUGUAUGUUCCUACAUUAUUCUUUGGAAUAAGAAUGUGGGCGGGCAUUGUCACACAUUUUUCAUGUAUUAGGUCAGAUAGCACAGGUCCACACUCAAAAGCAUUAAACACCAUCUGUACUUUUAAUUAUAUAUUCUUCAUACAUUAUAUGAAGGUAGACUAUAUAGUCUUAUGUCAAACAAAAGCCAUCAUAAUGAGUUCUUAUCCAGAACACAAAAUGCAAUAUAUGUAAAGGAAUUAAAAUACCAAGCAAAGGAAGGAGAUGUCAUUGGCAUUCAAGUUCUCUGUUCUAAGCUUAGAUCCAUUAAUUGAUCCUAAGCGUGAAAUAAUUGCUACUUUGUACUCAAAACUAUGCUUGUCUGAUGGUCUUUGACAUUAAAGGGAAUUAAUUAGCAACAUCCAGACAGGACAACAGAGGUUUUUUUUUUUUAAAACGGGUGUAGUGAGGGAAGUGGAGGCACAUUUAAGAAAAAUGCUUGAAUGUAAAAUGUACUCUGACAUUUACCAAAUGUUGAAUAUUUCUUCUGGAUGUGGAAUAUUCUCUUCUUAGACUUAAUGGGUUGUUCUUGUUCAUCCAGAGUCUUUAUGGAGUUGGACAGCCUUUUAAAUUUGACAAACAAUCAAAUUAAUAUAGUUUACAUCACAAGGCAAUAGCUGUUUCCUCUGCAGUGUUUUACUUUCUGAAUUCCCUUACUCAGCCCCUGUAUCUUUCACAAUGGCAUAGCAAAAUGAUGAGAUGCUCUUCCUUCAUUAUCCUUUGCAAAAGGCUGUGAAAUAGAGCACAACUUCUUUCAAGAAUAGUUUGGAUCCUUUCUUGAAUACAUCAAAAGAUCUACAUUAAGAGCCACUGCUGUAGCUCAGCAGGGGGCCAGGCAGGCUCCAGAUGUCUGCAGAGCUGAACCUAGGACUGCUAACAGUUUAAUUCAGCUAAUUAAAAUUUAGAAGCAUUAUUUUGGUUUGAGAGGCAAAAGGAGGGUGAAGAGAGUACCUCUGGCUGGGUACGUGCAUGAGUAAUUGAGUGUCUCUCCCAACAUAGCUAACAAGGGCAUGGCUGCAGAUUUUUAACUCAUUAGUACAUCCGCUGACAUCUGGAGACAAAUAUACACAUGCGUGCGCGCACACAGACACAGAGUUAACAUAAUGUCUCAUGCAAUAAAAACGAUCAAGUCACAAUGUUUAUAAAAUCAGUUUAUUUCUAAGACAUGUUUUACAAAGUAGGGACUGGUACCAAUUCAAAGAUUAUUGAGAUUGCAUCAUAUUUCUUUGAAUGAAACUAUACUGGUCAGCAUUAGGCAUAGGAGAGAGCAAUAUUUCACCCUGGUAUUGCUUAUGGUUAAUGUUAUGCUCAUAGUGCGACUGAGUUAGGGCCUUGAACAACAAGAAAAAAAAUCACUGUAAUCUUCAUUUUAUUUUAAUUAAGCAAAACACACUGGGUUCAGUUUAAAUUAGCAUAUAAUGCUCACUUAACUGAAAGGUUUAGCUCACUGUAUAUUUCUUUUCUUUUUGGCCUUGGCUUCAUAAUCAUAAUUGUAUCUUAUUGUGUGGUUUGCAUGAGGGGGAUGAAGGACUUUUUCCUCCUGGCUUCUGUCACCCUCUAGAAAGAGAAGCACUCUGCAUAAAAUGUUUUUCAGCUGAUUGUUUUAGCAGUCACAUAAUCCUCCCUUUGAUGUCCAGAAUCAAAGAAAUCCUAAUACCACCAGCAUUUGGUAGCAGAUAUAGUUAAAGUCUCUGC